AACCCUUGUCAUUAGUUGCUACAUUCAGUUGGGCACUCUAAUGAGACUGCCGGUGACAAGCCGGAGGAAGUGGGGAUGACGUCAAGUCCUCAUGGCCCUUAUAGGUGGGGCUACACACGUCAUACAAUGGCUGGUACAAAGGGUUGCCAACCCGCGAGGGGGAAGCCAAUCCCAUAAAGCCAGUCGUAGUCCGGAUCGUAGUCUGCAACUCGACUACGUGAAGUCGGAAUCGCUAGUAAUCGUGGAUCAGAAUGUCACGGUGAAUACGUUCCCGGGUCCUU
rnacentral:rRNA from 1 species